rnacentral:lncRNA from 1 species
AGAAGGGCUUCUGCGUAAAAUGCGUAUGCUAUGAAGCAGUGGGCAAUAAGGAAAUUUAUUGGGGUAUAUAUAUAUACUAGUGUAGUCACCCGCGCGAUGCGGCAGAUAUAUAUUAUUGAAACAAUCAUUAUUUCUAUAAAAUAAAAAAUAUUAGUUUAAAUGGGCUGUAAAAAUCGGUAAAAUACUAUUAAAGAUGACAUUUUUAUACUUAUUAACUCAACAAUCUAUAUAAUUAAACUCAAUAUUUCAGUCAAAAAAAUAAUAAAAUUAUAAGUAAGGAUAAAUACAAAAUUUACAAUUGAUUACACAUAACAAUUCAAAUAAAAGGAAUUGUUAAAGUUCAAGCGAGUGUUAAUUGAAAAUUAAAUAAAAUUGAGGGCCUAUUUCAAAUGGGCUAGAGAGGAUCUCUCCGUAAACAUUUUUACCAAUCUUUUUUUAGUAUUUAAAAAAAAAAAGCCAAACAAAGCUAAACCUGCACUUCUCCGGGCCUAAUUAUGCCCUUAUGUCCAGCAAAAUUUUGAUGAGUGAAUGAGCCCUGAAACCCCACAGAAAUAAUUCAGUGAACACCUUAUAAGCAUCUACUACAAACCAAUCUGAAUUAUAACAGAGAUGUGUAACUUGAGUUACUUCUAGUAUGUAUGUAACAGUAUCAAAUCCUGAAAAAAAAAACAUAAUUAAAUACAACAACACCUGAACAGAAGCAAAUACCUUAUAAUAUAAGACCAUCAAUAAUAAGUUGCCAU